rnacentral:rRNA from 1 species
GAUGAACGCUGGCGGCGUGCCUAAUACAUGCAAGUUGAGCGAAUGGAUUAAGAGCUUGCUCUUAUGAAGUUAGCGGCGGACGGGUGAGUAACACGUGGGUAACCUGCCCAUAAGACUGGGAUAACUCCGGGAAACCGGGGCUAAUACCGGAUAACAUUUUGAACCGCAUGGUUCGAAAUUGAAAGGCGGCUUCGGCUGUCACUUAUGGAUGGACCCGCGUCGCAUUAGCUAGUUGGUGAGGUAACGGCUCACCAAGGCAACAAUGCGUAGCCGACCUGAGAGGGUGAUCGGCCACACUGGGACUGAGACACGGCCCAGACUCCUACGGGAGGCAGCAGUAGGGAAUCUUCCGCAAUGGACGAAAGUCUGACGGAGCAACGCCGCGUGAGUGAUGAAGGCUUUCGGGUCGUAAAACUCUGUUGUUAGGGAAGAACAAGUGCUAGUUGAAUAAGCUGACACCUUGACGGUACCUAACCAGAAAGCCACGGCUAACUACGUGCCAGCAGCCGCAGUAA